rnacentral:rRNA from 1 species
AUUGAACGCUGGCGGCAUGCCUUACACAUGCAAGUCGAACGGUAACAGGUCUUCGGAUGCUGACGAGUGGCGAACGGGUGAGUAAUACAUCGGAACGUGCCUAGUAGUGGGGGAUAACUACUCGAAAGAGUGGCUAAUACCGCAUGAGAUCUACGGAUGAAAGCAGGGGAUCGCAAGACCUUGUGCUACUAGAGCGGCCGAUGGCAGAUUAGGUAGUUGGUGGGAUAAAAGCUUACCAAGCCGACGAUCUGUAGCUGGUCUGAGAGGACGAUCAGCCACACUGGGACUGAGACACGGCCCAGACUCCUACGGGAGGCAGCAGUGGGGAAUUUUGAACAAUGGGCGCAAGCCUGAUCCAGCAAUGCCGCGUGCAGGAUGAAGGCCUUCGGGUUGUAAACUGCUUUUGUACGGAACGAAAAGCCCUGGGUUAAUACCCCGGGGUCAUGACGGUACCGUAAGAAUAAGCACCGGCUAACUACGUGCCAGCCGCCGCCGUAAUAC